GUCUUGGUAGCUCAGACGGCAGAGCACUGUACCAGUGAUCCAGUAGUCGUGGGUUCAAGUCCCAUCCAAGACA